GACGAACGCUGGCGGCGUGCUUAACACAUGCAAGUCGAACGGAAAGGCCCUGCUUUUGUGGGGUUCUCGAUUGGCGAACGGGUGAGUAACACGUGAGUAACCUGCCCUUGACUUUGGGAUAACUUCAGGAAACUGGGGCUAAUACCGGAUAGGAGCUCCUGCUGCAUGUUGUGGGUUGGAAAGUUUCGGCUGUUGUGGAUAGACUCGAGGCUUAUCAGCUGCUUGGUGUGGUAGUGGUGUACCAAGGCUAUGACGGCUAGCCUGCCUGAGAGGGUGACCGGGCACCAUGGGCCUGAGAUACGGCGCAGAAUGCUACGUGAGGCAGCAGGGGGGAAUAUUGCAGAAUGGGGCGGCGCCUGAUGCAAAAACGCCGCGUGCGGGAUGCCGGGCUUCGGGGUGUAAACCGAUUUCGACUGUGACGAAGCGUGAGUGACGGUACUGGGUAAAGAAGCAACGGCUAACUACGUG
rnacentral:rRNA from 1 species